rnacentral:rRNA from 1 species
UACAGAGGUCUCAAGCGUUGUUCGGAUUCAUUGGGCGUAAAGGGUGCGUAGGCGGCGCCGUAAGUCAGGUGUGAAAUCCCGGGGCUCAACCCCGGAACGGCACUUGAUACUGCGGUGCUUGAGGACUGGAGAGGAGACUGGAAUUCCCGGUGUAGCAGUGAAAUGCGUAGAUAUCGGGAGGAAGGCCAGUGGCGAAGGCGGGUCUCUGGACAGUUCCUGACGCUGAGGCACGAAGGCCAGGGGAGCAAACGGG